rnacentral:snoRNA from 1 species
AGACGAUGAUAAAGACAUUGUCGAAGUAGUUCUUUGUAUCUUUCGCAAGCUUCAUACAACGAUUUAGAAUCUAGUUGCAUGAAUGAUGUAAUUUCACUCCUCAUUUU